rnacentral:rRNA from 1 species
UACGGAGGGUGCGAGCGUUGUUCGGAAUUAUUGGGCGUAAAGCGCACGUAGGCGGCCAACUAAGUCGGGUGUGAAAGCCCCCGGCUCAACCGAGGAAUUGCUCCCGAUACUGGUUGGCUCGAGGAUGGUAGGGGUGAGUGGAACUCCAGGUGGAGCGGUGAAAUGCGUAGAUAUCUGGAGGAACACCGGUGGCGAAAGCGGCUCACUGGAUCAUCACUGACGCUGAGGUGCGAAAGCCAGGGUAGCGAACGGG